GAUGAAGAACGUAGCGAAAUGCGAUACUUGGUGUGAAUUGCAGAAUCCCGUGAACCAUCGAGUCUUUGAACGCAAGUUGCGCCUCAAGCCAUUAGGUUGAGGGCACGUCUGCCUGGGCGUCACAUAUCGUUGCCUGAUGCCAGUUUCCUCGUGAUGGGUGACUGUGCAGGGCGAAUGAUGGCUUCCCGUUAGCAUUGUUGCCUCAUGGUUGGUUGAAAAUUGAGUCCUUGGUAGGGAGCGCCGUGAUAGAUGGUGGUUGAGUGACGAACGAGACCCAAUCAUGUGAGACCCCUACCGAAUUUGGCCUUCAUGACCCACAUGCGUCUUUGGAACGCUCAUGACGAGACCUCAGGUCAGGCGGGGCUACCCGCUGAGUUUAAGCAUAUCAAUAAGCGGAGGA
rnacentral:misc_RNA from 1 species